rnacentral:tRNA from 1 species
GCAGCGGUAGUUCAGCAGUAGAAUUCUUGCCUUCCAUGUGAGAGACCAGGGUUCAAUUUCUGGCCACUGGA